UACGGAGGGGGCUAGCGUUGUUCGGAAUUACUGGGCGUAAAGCGCACGUAGGCGGCUUUGCAAGUCAGAGGUGAAAGCCCGGGGCUCAACCCCGGAAUUGCCUUUGAGACUGCAUCGCUAGAAUUGUGGAGAGGUAAGUGGAAUUCCGAGUGUAGAGGUGAAAUUCGUAGAUAUUCGGAAGAACACCAGUGGCGAAGGCGACUUACUGGACAGAUAUUGACGCUGAGGUGCGAAAGCGUGGGGAGCAAACAGG
rnacentral:rRNA from 1 species